GGGCUUAUGAUGAAAAUUUAAUCAUCUUAGCGGAUUUCCGUGAGAUCGUAGUGUCAAUGAUCUGAUUGUUACACACACUGAAGUAA